CCUACGGGGUGCUGCAGUGGGGAAUAUUGGACAAUGGGCGAAAGCCUGAUCCAGCCAUGCCGCGUGUGUGAAGAAGGCCUUCGGGUUGUAAAGCACUUUCAGUGGGGAAGAAAGCCUUGGGGCUAAUACCCUCGAGGAAGGACAUCACCCACAGAAGAAGCACCGGCUAACUCCGUGCCAGCAGCCGCGGUAAUACGGAGGGUGCGAGCGUUAAUCGGAAUUACUGGGCGUAAAGCGCGCGUAGGCGGUCUGAUAAGCCGGUUGUGAAAGCCCCGGGCUCAACCUGGGAACGGCAUCCGGAACUGACAGGCUAGAGUGCAGGAGAGGAAGGUAGAAUUCCCGGUGUAGCGGUGAAAUGCGUAGAGAUCGGGAGGAAUACCAGUGGCGAAGGCGACCUCCUGGACUAACACUGACGCUGAGGUGCGAAAGCGUGGGUAGCAAACAGGAUUAGAUACCCCGGUAGUC
rnacentral:rRNA from 1 species